GGAGUCUGGGCCGUGUCUCAGUCCCAAUGUGGCCGUUCAACCUCUCAGUCCGGCUACUGAUCGUCGACUUGGUGAGCCGUUACCUCACCAACUAUCUAAUCAGACGCGAGCUCAUCUUUCAGCGAUAAAUCUUUGAUAACAAAAUCAUGCGGUCCUGUUAUGUUAUGCGGUAUUAUCAGUCGUUUCCAACUGCUAUCCCCCUCUGAAAGGCAGAUUGCUCACGUGUUACUCACCCGUCCGCCACUAAGUUAUCCAAAGCAAGCUCUAAAUAACUCCGUUCGACUUGCAUGUGUUAAGCGUGCCGCCAGCGUUCGUC
rnacentral:rRNA from 1 species